UACCAGCACCCCGAGUGGUCGGGACGAUUAUUGGGCCUAAAGCAUCCGUAGCCGGUCAUGCAAGUCCUCCGUUAAAUCCACCUGCUUAACAGAUGGGCUGCGGAGGAUACUACAAGGCUAGGAGGCGGAAGAGGCAAGCGGUACUCAGUGGGUAGGGGUAAAAUCCUCUGAUCCAUUGAAGACCACCAGUGGCGAAGGCGGCUUGCCAAUACGCGCUCGACGGUGAGGGAUGAAAGCUGGGGGAGCAAACC
rnacentral:rRNA from 1 species